GUGGAUUAGAUACCCUAGUAGUCCGAGCCGUAAACGAUGGACACUGGGUGUAGAGGGUAUCGACCCCCUCUGUGCCGUAGCUAACGCGUUAAGUGUCCCGCCUGGGGAGUACGGUCGCAAGACUGAAACUCAAAGGAAUUGACGGGGGCCCGCACAAGCGGUGGAGCAUGUGGUUUAAUUCGAUGCAACGCGAAGAACCUUACCAAGGCUUGACAUGUAGGGAAUCCUGGUGAAAGCCGGGAGUGCCGCAAGGAACCCUAACACAGGUGGUGCACGGUCGUCGACAACU
rnacentral:rRNA from 1 species